AGGAUAAAAUAAGAAAAUUGAGAAGAAGAGAUGGUGUUUUCCACUUCAUUCGCGCGUAUGUGAAUCGCAUCGAAACGAUGUGAACUAGGCGCGCGCCCCGAGGGCAAUGCUCUUCCAAUUCGCGCAGUUUUUCUUUGCGCGGCCAUUCUUCUUUCUUCCCUUCAUAGUUACACUCGCACACCCCCCCCCCCCUCACAUACCCACUCGCU
ensembl:ncRNA Y41G9A.14 ncRNA